GGGGAAGAAGAGGCCGGAGCAAGAGGGGGCAAAGUAGGCAGAGAGAAAGGUGAAAGACUGACAUGAGUCCGGUCUUAGUAGGAGAUGCAGAGUCUGAAUCUGUGUUCUCGUCUCCACAAAAAGCAGGCACAGAGAGACUGUAAUCUCCUUCAGAGAUGGUGCCUAUCUCCUGUGUAUCCUCCACAGGUAAUCUCUACGCCUAAUGUGGAGCUCGAGCUCACAACCUCUAGAUCAAGAGUCGCAAUCUCCACCAACUGAGCCAGACAGGAGCUCCUGAAAAUUCUGAUUUGAAAUCAUUAUUCUAUGCUCUUCACUUUGAAGUUAGUCCCACAUGCCAGGAAAGGUCCAGCUUCCCAAUCUCACUCUGUGUUUGUGAAGUAUAAAACCUGUAUUAAG